GAUGGGAUAAAUCAGCAUUGCUGCAUUUGCUGGAGCAAAACUCAGUGAACAGAUUGCCUGGGUUUUGAAAACAGCUGAGCACACAGCAGUUUGAUUAGGAGCUGGAAGGAGCUGGUGGAUGCUCAACACUUUAGGGAAAAAGGGCUGGAAGCUCUAAGGAAAUUCUUCCUUCUGCUGGAUAAUAGGGAGCUCAAGUCUUGCAGGCCCUGCAUGGUGGUAUUGUCAAAAGAGUACCUACAUCACAGCCACACACAUAUCUAGUACCUUCAAAGCAGACGGGAAUGAAGGUAAGGAAGGAAACAAGGAAGCAAGCAAGGAGGAAAAGCAAGGAAGCAAGCAAACAGGGGUGAAGACCUUGUUCAAGACUCCCAGUUCCGAGAGAUUCUCUCUGGGGAAACUUCUGGAGUCGGAAGCUUUACACAGGUUCCCUCAAAAGAAAUGACCUGAGACUUGCAUAUGGAUCUGCAGAGGAGAGGACGCUCAACUACAACACUUAACACUGAA